rnacentral:rRNA from 1 species
UAGGGAAUAUUGCGCAAUGGGCGAAAGCCUGACGCAGCGACGUCGUGUGGGGGAUGAAGGGUCUUGGCUCGUAAACCCCUGUCAGAUGGGACGAUGGGAACAGUAGUUAAUACCUGCUGUUUUUGACAGUACCAUCAGAGGAAGCACCGGCUAACUACGUGCCAGCAGCCGCGGUAAUACGUAGGGUGCAAGCGUUGUUCGGAAUUAUUGGGCGUAAAGAGUAGGUAGGCGGAAUAGUAAGUCAGAUGUGAAAUCCCAGGGCUCAACUCUGGAAGUGCAUUUGAUACUGCUGUUCUUGAUUUCAGGAGAGGGAAGCAGAAUUCCUGGUGUAGGGGUGGAAUCCGUAGAUAUCAGGAGGAAUACCAGAGGCGAAGGCGGCUUCCUGGACUGAUAAUGACGCUGAGCUACGAAAGCGUGGGUAGCAAACA